UGUCUGAAUAUGGGGGGACCAUCCUCCAAGGCUAAAUACUCCUGACUGACCGAUAGUGAACCAGUACCGUGAGGGAAAGGCGAAAAGAACCCCGGCGAGGGGAGUGAAAAAGAACCUGAAACCGUGUACGUACAAGCAGUGGGAGCACAGGUUUACCUGUGUGACUGCGUACCUUUUGUAUAAUGGGUCAGCGACUUAUAUUCUGUAGCAAGGUUAACCGUAUAGGGGAGCCGGAGGGAAACCGAGUCUUAAUUGGGCGUUAAGUUGCAGGGUAUAGACCCGAAACCCGGUGAUCUAGCCAUGGGCAGGUUGAAGGUUGGGUAACACUAACUGGAGGACCGAACCGACUAAUGUUGAAAAAUUAGCGGAUGACCUGUGGCUGGGGGUGAAAGGCCAAUCAAACCGGGAGAUAGCUGGUUCUCCCCGAAAGCUAUUUAGGUAGCGCCUCGUGAAUUCAUCUCCGGGGGUAGAGCACUGUUUCGGCUAGGGGGCCAUCCCGGCUUACCAACCCGAUGCAAACUGCGAAUACCGGAGAAUGUUAUCACGGGAGACACACGGCGGGUGCUAACGUCCGUCGUGAAGAGGGAAACAACCCAGACCGCCAGCUAAGGUCCCAAAGUCAUGGUUAAGUGGGAAACGAUGUGGGAAGGCCCAGACAGCCAGGAUGUUGGCUUAGAAGCAGCCAUCAUUUAAAGAAAGCGUAAUAGCUCACUGGUCGAGUCGGCCUGCGCGGAAGAUGUAACGGGGCUAAACCAUGCACCGAAGCUGCGGCAGCGAACGUAUCACUUAAAGCGAUUCAGCGGGUUACGAUUGACGGAGCGAAGCGACGUCAAAGCGUAUACAAAGUCGAGUCGGUUUAAGGAUACGUUCGUUGGGUAGGGGAGCGUUCUGUAAGCCUGUGAAGGUGUGUCGUGAGGCAUGCUGGAGGUAUCAGAAGUGCGAAUGCUGACAU
rnacentral:rRNA from 1 species